rnacentral:rRNA from 1 species
GGUCUUAGCUUGCUAAGGCUGAUGGCGACCGGCGCACGGGUGAGUAACACGUAUCCAACCUGCCGUCUACUCUUGGCCAGCCUUCUGAAAGGAAGAUUAAUCCAGGAUGGCAUCAUGAGUUCACAUGUCCGCAUGAUUAAAGGUAUUUUCCGGUAGACGAUGGGGAUGCGUUCCAUUAGAUAGUAGGCGGGGUAACGGCCCACCUAGUCAACGAUGGAUAGGGGUUCUGAGAGGAAGGUCCCCCACAUUGGAACUGAGACACGGUCCAAACUCCUACGGGAGGCAGCAGUGAGGAAUAUUGGUCAAUGGGCGAUGGCCUGAACCAGCCAAGUAGCGUGAAGGAUGACUGCCCUAUGGGUUGUAAACUUCUUUUAUAAAGGAAUAAAGUCGGGUAUGCAUACCCGUUUGCAUGUACUUUAUGAAUAAGGAUCGGCUAACUCCGUGCCAGCAGCCGCGGUAAUACGGAGGAUCCGAGCGUUAUCCGGAUUUAUUGGGUUUAAAGGGAGCGUAGAUGGAUGUUUAAGUCAGUUGUGAAAGUUUGCGGCUCAACCGUAAAAUUGCAGUUGAUACUGGAUGUCUUGAGUGCAGUUGAGGCAGGCGGAAUUCGUGGUGUAGCGGUGAAAUGCUUAGAUAUCACGAAGAACUCCGAUUGUGAAGGCAGC